rnacentral:snRNA from 1 species
CCACUUUGGCAGCACAUACACUAAAAGUUAAAAUGAUAAAGAGAUGAUUUGCAUAGUUCCUGUGAGGGGAUGACAUGCAAAUUUGUAAAGCAUUCCAUAUUUUU